AGACGACGCGUGGCGGCAGGACUAAGUACAUGCAAGUCGAACGGUAUCAUCCUUUCGGGGGUGAGAGAGUGGCGAACUGGUGAGUAACACGUAGGUUAUCUACCCUCAAGACGGGACAACCCAGGGAAACUUGGGCUAAUACCGGAUGUGAGCAACUUUUAGUUGUUUGAAAGGUGGCGUAAGCUGUCGCUUGGGGAUGAGCCUGCGUCCUAUUAGUUAGUUGGUGAGGUAACGGCUCACCUAGGCAAUGAUAGGUAGGCGGCCUUAACGGGUGGUCGCCCACACUGGGAUUGAGAUACGGCCCAGACUCCUACGGGAGGCAGCAGUCGAGAAUAGUCUACAAUGGUCGGAAGACUGAUAGUGCGACGCCGCGUGAACGAUGAAUCCCUUCGGGGUGUAAAGUUCUUUUAUAUGUGAGCAGUGCUUCUUAUAUUAACAGUAUGGGGAGAGAGAUAUUAGCAUAUGAAUAAGCAACGGCUAACUCCGUG
rnacentral:rRNA from 1 species